rnacentral:rRNA from 1 species
AUUGAACGCUGGCGGCAGGCCUAACACAUGCAAGUCGAACGGUAACAGGAAGAAGCUUGCUUCUUUGCUGACGAGUGGCGGACGGGUGAGUAAUGUCUGGGAAACUGCCUGAUGGAGGGGGAUAACUACUGGAAACGGUAGCUAAUACCGCAUAAUGUCGCAAGACCAAAGAGGGGGACCUUCGGGCCUCUUGCCAUCGGAUGUGCCCAGAUGGGAUUAGCUAGUAGGUGGGGUAACGGCUCACCUAGGCGACGAUCCCUAGCUGGUCUGAGAGGAUGACCAGCCACACUGGAACUGAGACACGGUCCAGACUCCUACGGGAGGCAGCAGUGGGGAAUAUUGCACAAUGGGCGCAAGCCUGAUGCAGCUAUGCCGCGUCUAUGAAGAAGGCCUUCGGGUUGUAAAGUACUUUCAGCGGGGAGGAAGGGAGUAAAGUUAAUACCUUUGCUCAUUGACGUUACCCGCAGAAGAAGCACCGGCUAACUCCGUG